GCCGAUCAUAUCAUAUUGAAACACUAGUUCUUGUAUGAUCACAGAAGUUAAGCAGCAUCGAGCCUGGUCAGUACCUAGAUGGGUGACCACAUAAGAAUACCAGAUGAUGUA